rnacentral:rRNA from 1 species
AGAGUUUGAUCCUGGCUCAGGACGAACGUUGGCGGCGUGCCUAGUGCAUGCAAGUCGAACGAGGAACCCUUCCCGGGUAACCGGGAUUGGUUGCCUAGUGGCGAACGGGUGAGUAACACGUGAGGAACCUGCCCCGGAGACCGGAAUAGCCCAGGGAAACUUGGAUUAAUGCCGGAUACCCUCGGAUGGUCGCAUGACCGACUGAGGAAAUAGCCCGCUGCUCCGGGAUGGCCUCGUGGCCUAUCAGCUAGUUGGUGAGGUAACGGCUCACCAAGGCAAAGACGGGUAGCUGGUCUGAGAGGACGAUCAGCCACACUGGGACUGAGACACGGCCCAGACUCCUACGGGAGGCAGCAGCAGGGAAUAUUGCACAAUGGGCGAAAGCCUGAUGCAGCGACACCGCGUGCGGGAUGAAGGCCCUCGGGUUGUAAACCGCUUUCAGGAGGGACGAAAAUGACGGUACCUCCAGAAGAAGGCCCGGCCAACUACGUGCCAGCAGCCGCGGUAAUACGUAGGGGCCAAACGUUGUCCGGAUUUAUUGGGCGUAAAGGGCUCGUAGGCGGUUCAACAAGUCGAUCGUGAAAGCCCGGGGCUCAACCCCGGGACGCCGGUCGAAACUGUUGUGACUAGGGUCCGGUAGAAGUGAGUGGGAUUCUCGGUGUAGCGGUGGAAUGCGCAAAUAUCGAGAAGGACACCAGU